UCGAGGCAUGAGCCAAGUUGGAAUUUCAGCUACCAGUCUGGUUUAUCGCCGGAUGGGAGUUGGACUUACAAUUGGGCUGCAGGUUCAGGUCCUGGUGGAAGCACUUUUAGCUUUGGAUCAGGUGCUGGUUGGAGGCCUGAUGGUGCAACUGUAGGGUUUGGUUUCGGAUGGGGCGGAUCUAGCAGUGCAGGUUAUGGAUUUUACGGAGGCAGCAGUGGAUUUGGAUUUGGUGGAGGCAGUGGUGGUUUCAAUUUUCAUCAUAAUUUUGGUGGCGCCCAAGGUCAACGCACAUCUGGCCAACCCAGAACCGACGGGACUCGCAAUCGACUGGGUGGGAACAAUUGAUUACAACUCUGUAUGAUUGUAGUUCUUUUAUUAAGGGAUAGAUGUGAGGGUUGAACAUGACCACCUGCUCUAUGAUGUAUU
rnacentral:misc_RNA from 1 species